UAUAUAUUUAUAUUUAUAUGUUUAUAUAUAUUUAUAUAUCUAUAUAUAUUUAUGUUUAUAUAUAUUUAUAUAUAUAUGCAUGUAUAUAUUACACAUAUACUGUAACGCAUGCAUGUCUAUAUAUUAGUGGUAUAUUGUAGCUUGUGGUUAGAACAAAAAAUACAAUUACGAUGUUUGAGGGACUCUGUAUAUAUAUGGAGAAUGAGGAGAGAGAGAGAGAGAAGAAGAGAGAGAUAGUGAGCAAUAUGUGCUUUUGGAAAAUCUUGAGUAGUUUAUUAUUCAAAAAUGCUUUGUCUGCAGCAAUGAAAUCUAUGCAAGAUGGCCACAUACCACUGGCUGGUUAAGUCCUGCUGUAGCAAUGGUAUGGACUUAAUGAGUUGGUUAUCUCACACAAACUGCUGUUUUGAAGUUUAAGCUUGAAAUCCUUACCUUUCUCUCUGUCCCUUUUUGUGAUGUUAAUCCCCGCUGCCCUCCCUUCCUUCCUUGCGGCUUCGUUAAGCCACUUAAACAUGCGUGUCAACGACCGGACUUUUAUCAGGUGUGUCGUUAUCAGAAAUUGAAAUUCCAAAGGUGAAAUAUAAUUGAAAACAAAAACACAAAAAAAUAAAAUAAGAAGCGAAAAUAAUUGUGAUAAAUAGCAAUGGUAAUCUUUAUUGUCGUUGGAUUAUGGUCAUGCUGGAGCACUGUCCUGAAAGAUUUUUAGUUCAGUGACAGAAUCUCCCAAAUCCAUUAUCUGGUAGUAUUAUGUCUAGGGAUUAGCUGGGCUGAGAAGACCUCCUGAGUUUGAAAUACCAAAGGGGUAAUAAUGAGAUGUGUGUGGGUGGGUGCAGGAGUGGCUGUGUGGUAAG